AGUUGCAACUUUUGUAUUUUCUUCACUUGUAAAUAC
rnacentral:sRNA from 1 species